GUGACCCCGGUCUAACCACCGGGAUGUUCAUAACCCUUUGUUGUCCGACUCUGUUGCCUCCGGGGCGACCCUGCCUUCGGGCGGGGGCUCCGGGUGGACACUUCAAACUCUUGCGUAACUUUGCAGUCUGAGUAAACUUAAUUAAUAAAUUAAAACUUUUAACAACGGAUCUCUUGGUUCUGGCAUCGAUGAAGAACGCAGCGAAAUGCGAUAAGUAAUGUGAAUUGCAGAAUUCAGUGAAUCAUCGAAUCUUUGAACGCACAUUGCGCCCCCUGGUAUUCCGGGGGGCAUGCCUGUUCGAGCGUCAUUUCACCACUCAAGCCUCGCUUGGUAUUGGGCAACGCGGUCCGCCGCGUGCCUCAAAUCGACCGGCUGGGUCUUCUGUCCCCUAAGCGUUGUGGAAACUAUUCGCUAAAGGGUGUUCGGGAGGCUACGCCGUAAAACAACCCCAUUUCUAAGGUUGACCUCGGAUCAGGUAGGGAUACCCGCUGAACUUAAGCAUAUCAAUA
rnacentral:rRNA from 1 species